ACCACCACCACCACCCCCCCAACAAACAGCUUUCAUUUAAAUCUGUUUGGCAUCUUUGUUCACCUUACAAGUGACUUCUAGUGGGAGUUUUUUUCCCGACUUCAAAGAAAAAGUGAAGGCUUUGAGACCACACUGAUGAUGCAUAAUUCAUUUUUAUGGAGCUUCACUGUUCUGCCAAAGAGAAAUGGGGAGGAGGAAAAAAAAAAAAAGG